rnacentral:rRNA from 1 species
UGAGUUUGAUCAUGGCUCAGGACGAACGCCGGCGGCGUGCCUAAUACAUGCAAGUUGAACGCUUCUUUCUUAUCGAAAUUCGGUUCACCAAGAAAGAAGAGUAGCGAACGGGUGAGUAACACGUGGGUAACCUGCCCAUUAGCGGGGGAUAACACUUGGAAACAGGUGCUAAUACCGCAUAAUACUUUUUCUCUCGUGAGUGAAAGUUGAAAGGCGCUUUGCGUCACUGACGGAUGGACCCGCGGUGCAUUAGCUAGUUGGUAGGGUAACGGCCUACCAAGGCAACGAUGCAUAGCCGACCUGAGAGGGUGAUCGGCCACACUGGGACUGAGACACGGCCCAGACUCCUACGGGAGGCAGCAGUAGGGAAUCUUCGGCAAUGGACGAAAGUCUGACCGAGCAACGCCGCGUGAGUGAAGAAGGUUUUCGGAUCGUAAAACUCUGUUGUUAGAGAAGAACAAGGAUGAGAAGAGAAUGUCAUCC